CUAUGUUAGGAAGGAGAUAGAAACUGACCACUCAUGGAGCAGAUCACAGGGUUUUCAGUGUUUUCUGAUUAUAUGUGUGAAUGUAUUGGUUCUUGCAGCAGUCCUACAUGGUAGUGCUUUUAUCACCCUGUUUCACAAAUGAGGAAAUGAAGACACAAUGUACUCAAAGCGUCACAGCUGGCCAGACAUAGAGCUCUAAACCUUAGCCUCUAGAACACAAAAUCUCUUAUUUAUUGAUCAACUAAACGGCUGGACCUCUCUUCUCCAGCUAGGGAUUUGAAAUGGCCUCAAGUAUUCAAGCUCUUCUGCCUUCCCUUCUCUUCAGUAUCAUGGUUUUCUCUGCCUGUUGUCAACACCUGGACACGAUCAUCUCACAGUCUGUUGUGUUUAUGGAUGGGAAUAAUUUCAUCUUGUAAUUGUCCUGUGACCAAGCAAGUUAGCACUUGAGAAUAUUUUGUACCCAAAUUUUGAAGCACGUGUUUUAGAAAAGAAGACAAAAUGGGAUAGGUAAACAAACAUUUCCACCCAUUAUCCAGAGCAUCUCACAUCAGUCAAUUCAUGCUGGUUUAUCAUGUUUGAUUGGAAGGUAAAAAUGUAGAAAAUAGCCCAGGCCUGUGGUCGCUAGAACUUGGCUGAAGGACCAACGUUUACCAGUGUGAAAGUAAAUACCAUGUCAGCGUUAUAGAGCAGACAGAAGA